GGGGCUGUAACUCAGUGGUAGAGUGCCUCGUUUGCAUCAUGUUGAUCGUCUAACGUCACAUGGCUAAGCUUCGAUGAAGUCCAGGGUUCGAUACCCUGCCGCUCCA
rnacentral:tRNA from 1 species